GUGAUAGGGUACUUUUUGUAGAACGGUCCGGCGAGCGAUUGUAUGCAGCAAGGUUAAGGACUUAAGGUCUGGAGCCGAAGCGAAAGCGAGUUUGAAAAGGGCGUUAAGUUGCAUACAAUGGGCCCGAAACCGGGUGACCUACCCAUGGUCAGGUUGAAGUGGAAGUAAAAUUCCAUGGAGGACCGAACCGACCUCCGUUGAAAAGGCGGCGGAUGAACUGUGGGUAGCGGAGAAAUUCCAAUCGAACCCGGAGAUAGCUGGUUCUCCCCGAAAUAGUUUUAGGACUAGCCUCAAGUUAGAUACCUGGAGGUAAAGCACUGAAUAGCCUAGCGGCCGAGAGGUUAGCGAAGCUUAUCAAACUCAGAAUGCCAGAGUAUUGAUGCUUGGGAGUCAGACAGUGUCAGAUAAAUGUCAUUGUCAAAAGGGAAACAGCCCAGAUCUACAGCUAAGGUCCCAAAGUCAGGUUAAGUGGAAAACGAUGUGAAGAUACGCAGACAACCAGGAUGUUGGCUCAGAAGCAGCCACUCAUUCAAAGAGUGCGUAAUAGCUCACUGGUCGAGCGUCUUUGCGCGGAGAAUUUAACGGGGCUAAACCUGACACCGAAGCUUAGGCAAUGUAGUAAUACAUUGGGUAGGGGAGCGUUGUAUACGCGGUGAAACAGUAGCGCAAGCGGCUGUGGAGUGUAUAGAAGUGAGAAUGCCGGAAUGAGUAGCGCGAAUGCAGUGAGAAUCUGCAUGGCCGAAAGCCUCAGGUUUCUGGAGGAAGGUUCGUCCGCUCCAGGUUAGUCGGGAGCUAAGGUGAGGCCUAACGGCGUAGCCGAUGCACAGACGGUAGAGAUUCCGUCACCACCAAAAGAGUUAAACACAGGGACACAUUUGAAGUCUCGGAGCCGGGUGUUGGUUCCGGUAGCGAUCGAGGGAAGUUAGUACCGAAGUCCGGGAUGGAAGAUGGCGAGAAAAGCUGUGUGUAUUUCUGCGGUGCCCGUACCGCAAACCGACACAGGUAGGUAGGAAGAAGAUUCUAAGGCCAACGGGAGAAGGGUUGUUAAGGAACUCGGCAAAUUGACCCCGUAACUUCGGGAGAAGGGGUGCUCCAGAGAUGGAGCCGCAGAGAAUCGGCCCAAGCAACUGUUUACCAAAAACACAGGUUUGUGCUAAAUCGAAAGAUGACGUAUACGAGCUGACGCCUGCCCGGUGCUGGAAGGUUAAGAGGAGAUGUGCAAGCAUUGAAUCGAAGCCCCAGUGAACGGCGGCCGUAACUAUAACGGUCCUAAGGUAGCGAAAUUCCUUGUCAGGUAAG
rnacentral:rRNA from 1 species